rnacentral:rRNA from 1 species
GAUAACCGCCCUUUGGAGGGGAUAACGUUCCGAAAGGAGCGCUAAUACCGCAUAACGCCCAAUCCGGUUUGCCGGGCUGGGACAAAGAUAGGGACCCGCAAGGCCUAUCGCCAGAGGAGGGGUCUGCGGCCCAUCAGCUAGUUGGUGAGGUAAUGGCUCACCAAGGCCGAGACGGGUAGCUGGUCUGAGAGGAUGAUCAGCCACACUGGUACUGGAACACGGACCAGACUCCUACGGGAGGCAGCAGUGGGGAAUCUUGGUCAAUGGGCGCAAGCCUGAACCAGCGAUGCCGCGUGAGUGAUGAAGGCCUUCGGGUUGUAAAGCUCUGUGGGGAGGGACGAAAGAGUAGAUUCUAACAGGGUCUACGUUGACGGUACCUCCUUAGCAAGCACCGGCUAACUCUGUGCCAGCAGCCGCGGUAA